UGGAACAGUGCAUAUAGCCUAUACAAUAGGAGAUCAUAGAUGGAACGUCAAGUGUGGGGAAUGAUAGGUCAGGCAAAAAAUGGCAAGGAAGGAAACAGCUGAUAACGAAGUUCUUGAGCAUUUUCGGCCAGCUACCGUCAUCGUGGCAUCGGCUAUCUGCGACGGAUGGUGAAUACUCACUCUCAAAUCCAUCCUUAUACUUCCAACAGCUCCCGAACCUCCCUUUGCCUUCCAACAAACAAAAAGACCUCCUUUUUUAGGCUUUUAUUGGAGGAGGUUGGAUAGAAUCCGGUUUAUUACGCCACGUGUUAUUACGAUUUCGCGAGCGAUGAUAGGUGUUCAAUACACGAUACAAACAUGCAUGAAAGAGAAAAAAUGAUCGAG
rnacentral:sRNA from 1 species